AGGAUGAACGCUGGCGGCGUGCCUAAUACAUGCAAGUCGUACGAGGGAAGUCCAGCUGCUGGACGGAACGAGUGGCGAACGGGUGAGUAAUACGUAAGCAACCUGCCUGCAAGGACUGGGAUAACACCUGGAAACGGGCGCUAAUACCGGAUAGGUAACAAAGGGGCAUCCCUAUGUUAUUAAAGGUUAGAAACACAAGCAGAUGGGCUUACGGUGCAUUAGCUAGUUGGUGAGGUAACGGCCCACCAAGGCGAUGAUGCAUAGCCGGCCUGAGAGGGUGAACGGCCACAUUGGGACUGAGACACGGCCCAGACUCCUACGGGAGGCAGCAGUAGGGAAUUUUCGGCAAUGGACGAAAGUCUGACCGAGCAACGCCGCGUGAGUGAAGAAGGUUUUCGGAUUGUAAAGCUCUGUUGUAAGGGAAGAACAGCACGGAAAGAAUCCGUGAAUGACGGUACCUUACCAGAAAGCCACGGCUAACUACGUGCCAGCAGCGGC
rnacentral:rRNA from 1 species